CAUAAACAAUACAAAUAGAACAUCGGAACUGAGUGCGGACUGUGAGAUACGUUUGGUUCGUGUGGCGCGCUGUUGAAAGGGGGUGCGCGGGGUUGGUUUUGGCGGGAAUCUGUCUGGAGCGAAAGUGCUGGCACAGGCGCGAGCGCGCCCUGUUUUACAUAACUGAUACUACGAGCUUUCGUAAUUGUUGCGUGAUAACAGUUUACACAGAAUAACGUAGUAAGGCAGUACUUAUCAAAGGAUGAAGAGUAAGCAACGCGAUUGGGGGAAUAAUUUUAACCCGGACAAACUACAGUCAACAGGAUGACGUUGAAGCGUGACUGGUUGGUGUGGCUGGUGUGUCU